rnacentral:lncRNA from 1 species
AUGUUUCCUCAUAUUCAGCUUGAACCUUUCCAUGGUAACCAAAGAUUCACUCCUAGGUUUAAAUUGUUACCUGGAUGCGUCAUUCCGCCCAGUACAAGCAGUAUCAGAGAAAAAAAAGCAUAUAAUAUGUCUGUAUCUAUAGCUCCAGAUGGGAAGGAAGGCAAAAGCUCUCCUGAAGAGCACACACAGGCAGAUCAGGAGGGUCCAAUACUGUGCCAACGUGCUGAGGUGCAGCAGAUAGCUGUAGAAAACUGAUGCAGAAACACAGCAAAUUGAAUAGCCGCAGCACCAUGGAUUUGCUCAGGUGAGGCACUGUGUGCUGAGCAUUUGCUGCAGUUCAGUUGUCCACACUGCAAAAGCAAAUAGAUCUGAUGAGUUGUGGUACACUGCACAUGCCAGCAUCAGCUGGCAGCAGACCAGGAGUGUCACAGGAGGAUUACAGAAUGGCUUUAGGGUAUUUUUUUCCCCUCAGCUAAGUGCAAAUGAGAGAUGCUGGCAAGUGGGAUAAAAUGUUAACUGCAAAACUUUCCACCCUCUUGGCAGCCAGAAAGAAUUAAUAGAGAAGGUUUUCUAAAUUGGCCAAAGGAUUUUGCUGUGAAAAAGUAAACAAGAGAAGUCAUGUAUCUGAAAUGGAUGCCACCAUCCAUUUCAGAUGGAUGAAAUGGAUGAUUAAAGAGAGCGCUUGGGGUUUCUCCCUUACAUUUACUGAAGAACAGUUCAUGGUGAAGUACAAAAGCAUGAGCAGAAAACUUUGUAUGCUAUCACUUUCACAUAUAUGUAUAUGUUCUUCCUGUACCUCCAUGUAUGAAACACGAGUGGACUUGCUUGAGCAACCUGCCUGAAGGUAGCCUGAAGCACAUCUGAAUCCCAAAGUUAGGAGUUUCAAAGAAAAGGAUUGAUUCCUAUUUGCAAAGAUAGUAGCAGAAUACAUCCUGCCUCCUUUUCUUGAUGUAGAAUCAUAGAAUAUUCUGAGUUGGAAAGGACCCAUAAAGAUUACUGAGUCUAGCUUCUACUGGUAGUGGAUUUAAAGAAUAAAUGUUUACUGCAAUCUUCA